UAUCUUCUGAUAGCUUUGAUGUCACACAGUUUCCUGCUGAGACCCCAGGAAGAUGGCAGAAGUAGGGUGCUUCUUGAACUGACUUCUCGUUUGCACUGGAGACUCAUUUACACUUCAUUGAUUCCAUGAAACUCUGGCUUCUGGGUCCUGAGUGGAAGAAAGAGUUUAGUGUUUAAAAUAUGGCUCCUGAAAAAGAGCGUGCCUCAAAAAACUCUCGUCUCUUCUGUGUCUUGCAUAAUUUACAUGAGGUUAGUUAACAUCAAAAAAUUAGUAAAUCUGAUAUCCAAUAAAGACACCUUUGGUUUACUUUCCUAUGAAAAUGUUCACUGCUCUUUCAACUGAAUUUUUUUAAAAUUUUAUUUUAUAUAUGAGUGUUCUAUCUGCAUGUACACCUUCAUGCCAAGUGAGAGCACCAAAACUCAUUAUAGAUGGUUGUGAGUCACCAUGUGAUUGCUGAGAAUUGAAUUCAGGACCUCUGGAAGAGCAGCCACUGCUCUUAACCUCUGAGCCAUCUCUCCACUCCUCAACUGAAUUUUAAAAUCAGCAUAUUUGCUAGAGUAGGGGAUGUCUGUGUUUGUGUAUGCACACAUGUGCAAUAGGGGAGUUUUCUUUAAACAUAUUUAAAUGCCUGUUAGAGUUUUAGGGAUUUAUGUGUUAUAGUAUGAUACCUGUUGCAUACCACAAAGUCAUCAUCAUUGCCUUACAGCAGAACCUACACAACGGAGUCUCUUAUUACUUGUGUAUCUGAAAUUAUUGUUUUCUGUAUGUUUCUGAUGGGCUAGCCAACUAAGAGUUUGCAAUGAACCUCAAUCCUAUCAAAGAGUAAGUGUGAGACCUACUCAGGCCACAUAAACUCCUUUUCAGAGGUUGAUGUGUUGAGAAAGAGUGGUCUCCUCCAAAGAGAUAAAAUCCCAGAGCUGGGAUCUUUUUCCUUACAAUGUAGUAGAAACUACCAGAGAAUAAGAUCAAUGCAAAGGAUCAAAGUUGAUGAAAGGUUGGAUGCAUAUAUGGAUGUACA
rnacentral:lncRNA from 1 species